UGGUGUACUCUCAAGACUGACAAGGUUGGGGUGUGUUGCAAGAAGGACUUAUUCUGUCCAGGGUCCCCUGCACUUGGUGCAUAUCAACACAAAUCAUAAGCUCAUCAGAUAUGGCCUUGUUAUUUUUGGAGGGAUUGAUGGCUUCUCAUGAAAGGUAUUAUGACUACUAAAUGAGAUUCAAAAUGACAGACAUGGUUCUACUUCUUGUAAUAGGUUUGAAAAAUGAAAUGCUUUCAUUUAAUUUCCAGUGAGUGAUAUUCUCUUCUUCAGAUCAUGUACCUAGGUACUGCGACCAAUAAUAAAGCAUCCACUGCACUUGAUUUCUUCUUGGAGGCAGUGCAGAAGUAUGGCUUUCCAUUAAGAGUAAGAGGUGACCAAGGAGUGGAAAACGUUGGUAUUGCGCAAUGCAUGUUCACCAUUAGAGGCUGUGGAAGGGGGACUUUCCUGUCAGGAAAGAGUGUACACAACCAAAGGUAUGUUUUCUUUAUGUACUGUGAAGUGGUCACACACAUCCAGAAGCCUCGACAA